ensembl:lncRNA
AAUUAACAAGAUGGCACCAGUCAGGCUCUCUCACCCCACGCUCUCAUGCCCUCUAGCCCCACGUUACUGUAAACAAUGACAUUGCACGGUUAUGUAACAGUUGAGAUCGCUUAUAGCUCUGCGCACAUGCAUCACGAGGUACUCACUUGGCAACGGGCUACUUUCCUUCCGUAAGUAUAUAUAAGCUCCACCAGGAAAAGCCCUGAGGGUUGUGUGCUGGUUGUUGCAUUAUGUUAUGUCUGCUGCUAUGGCUCCUGCGCUAGCCAGCAGAGAAUAAGCGCGUCCGCAGUUCCUGCGGCUCCUUGCACUUUCUUCCAACGUCUUGGCUCACACCUCGCCUACCGUGCGUCCAGCGAACAUUGCGCGGUGAGAUAGACAGUUGGCGCUGUGAACUGCAUCAGCAAGACAGCUGCCAUCAUGAACAGAAACGUCCUGGUCAGAGACUGCUGCCCCAGCCUGGGUUUCAGAAUGGAGAUGCCAUGAAGCAGAGCAGCUGGCCACAUGGAGAGAGAAACAAGUCAGAUAGAAACUGUUGCUACGCCCUACGUCUCCAGUUACCCCUUUAUCGGCUGGGUCUGGUGUGAGGAGAGUGAGGUACCAGGGGUGCCAAAUUGAAGAAAAUCCCAGGUAAGCCUUUGCAGGACCCUAAGAGUGAGCUCCACCGUCAACUUGUGCCCUAGGCUCCUUACUCGGUCACCCUAAUCCUGGCCGUGGCCAUUCAGCACCAAGGGUGGUGGUAAGAGGCAUCAGUGCCUGCCAGCCCUAGCUGGUUAUUCCACUGAUAAGCACAGAACCUGGACUCAUGGCUAGUGGAGGCGGAAAGAACGGGAGAGCAACCCUGGUCCAGUCCAGGACCUCUGGGCACAGGGCAGCUAGGGCUCAGCCAUAUUAAGAAACUCACUUAACUUCCUACAUCAGAAUAGGGCUGAGGGGUGGAGUUCCAGCUGUCAGGAGCCCCACGAGCAUAGAGGAAGGGUCUCUACAAGAUGCAUGUAGCCACCCUUGUUCAGCACCUUUGAGAAGCUGUCACUGUAGUCACUGUUGCGACCAUCCUGUUUCUCUUUUUAGGCUUUGCUCCUAGUUCAGUCACACAAAUAUUUUCUAAAUUCCAGGUGAGUCCAGUUGGAGUAUUUAGAUGAAACUUUAUUAAAGGCACAUGGGUAACAAAAAGGAAAGAAGAAAACCAAAAUAAGAUCUUGUAGAUACAAAGGCUCGGCUCAUUCAUCUUCACUUGGGAUCCCCUUGUAAUGGGCCAAUCUGAAUUUUGGAGUCUUGGAAAGCUAAAAUCUACACUUAAAAAUUGUUUAUAUUAAAGUAUAGUUGAUUUGCAAUGUUGUAUUUAAUUUCUGCUGUAUAGCGAAGUAAUUCAGUUAUACAUACAUAUAUUCUUUUU